GACGAACGCUGGCGGCGUGCCUAAUACAUGCAAGUUGAGCGAUGAAGAUUGGUGCUUGCACCAAUUUGAAGAGCAGCGAACGGGUGAGUAACGCGUGGGGAAUCUGCCUUUGAGCGGGGGACAACAUUUGGAAACGAAUGCUAAUACCGCAUAACAACUUUAAACAUAAGUUUUAAGUUUGAAAGAUGCAAUUGCAUCACUCAAAGAUGAUCCCGCGUUGUAUUAGCUAGUUGGUGAGGUAAAGGCUCACCAAGGCGAUGAUACAUAGCCGACCUGAGAGGGUGAUCGGCCACAUUGGGACUGAGACACGGCCCAAACUCCUAAGGGAGGCAGCAGUAGGGAAUCUUCGGCAAUGGACGAAAGUCUGACCGAGGAACGCCGCGGGAGGGAAGAAGGGUGUCGGAUCGUAAAACUAUGUUGGUAGGGAAGAACGUUGGUGAGAGUGGAAAGCUCAUCAAGUGACGGUAACUACACAGAAAGGGACGGCUAACUACGUG
rnacentral:rRNA from 1 species